rnacentral:rRNA from 1 species
GACGAACGCUGGCGGCGUGCUUAACACAUGCAAGUCGAACGGAAAGGCCCUGCUUUUGUGGGGUGCUCGAGUGGCGAACGGGUGAGUAACACGUGAGUAACCUGCCCUUGACUUUGGGAUAACUUCAGGAAACUGGGGCUAAUACCGGAUAGGAGCUCCUGCUGCAUGGUGGGGGUUGGAAAGUUUCGGCGGUUGGGGAUGGACUCGCGGCUUAUCAGCUUGUUGGUGGGGUAGUGGCUUACCAAGGCUUUGACGGGUAGCCGGCCUGAGAGGGUGACCGGCCACAUUGGGACUGAGAUACGGCCCAGACUCCUACGGGAGGCAGCAGUGGGGAAUAUUGCACAAGGGGCGGAAGCCUGAUGCAGCAACGCCGCGUGCGGGAUGACGGCCUUCGGGUUGUAAACCGCUUUCGCCUGUGACGAAGCGUGAGUGACGGUAAUGGGUAAAGAAGCACCGGCUAACGACGUGA